AUUUCGAUCUGCAGCCCUGCCGCGCUGGGUUUCUGAGCUCUGCUGCUCUCUUUCUCCGGGUAACAGGAGACUUGAAGACAUCGCCCAGAAGGUAGAGCUUCAAAUCCUGUUCUACCCAGGAGCAGAGAUGCUGUGCUGGGGCCUGGGCAAAGCCAGGCAAGAAGUGGUUCCUGCUAUCAGGCUGACUAACAUCUAUCAGAAAGAACAGAUCACGGUACUUUACAUGAUCAUAAAGUUAUAUGUGCGGUUGUGAAAUAAAAGUGAUCAUCUAAAUCAGACAGGGAGGUCGGGAACGUGUCCUGAAGAGAUGCUCUGGCUGAGUUCUGGGGGAAAAUAGGAGUGUAGUGGACAGACCAGACUCAGAAUGCUGGCCAUUGUCACCCCUCCCUCUAAGGCAAGCUUCCUCUCACCCAUGGCCCUGUUGGCAUGAAGAUUGCAUUGCAGCACCCAAGCCCCCAGCCCAUCUCCAAUUUGCAGCAGCCACAGGAGGGCAGCACCCAUCACUAAAGCCUGGUUCUGAAAACAGACAAGCCGACUGCA
rnacentral:lncRNA from 1 species